CCAACUAGCAUUCCUUUUCCCCGAGCACUUGGGAGAAGUGAUCCAAUGACUGUCGGCAUGUAGAAUCGACUGAUGAUGAAACGUCUCGUCCUGCCUGCUCCUCAUUCCCUUAUUAUUUAGCUAAUGAGGUACCUGGAAGACCUUUAAGAUCUGUUCGUGAAAGAAAAGGAAACCCGGCAAUUCACAAGACAACUCAGAAGCCCAGCAAUUCACAAGACAACUCAGCCCUGUUACAUCUGCUCCUGGGGCAGUUCUGCCAAGGAUUUAUCUUCAGAAGACAAGCAGAUGAAGAAACAAAACCUACUGGUAUGGGGACCCAAGCAGGAACCCGCUUCUUGCACCGGCGACUCAAGUGGGAAGAAGGUAGUGGCUGGCAUUAUGGAUUAGUUUCUUCACAGUUUUGUUCCUUUGGAAUUCACUGAGUUGAAAUGAAUUGAGGAUAGAAAGAGAAAGCUGGAGUGAGAGCUAAGAAGCUCUCAGAAUAUUCUGAAAAUGACAGCGCUGCAAAGAAGCCUGAGCGAGUAGAAGAAAAUAAAAGGAAUGGUGGAUACAAGUAAAGGAUAAAAUGAGAUAUAACAGAGCACAUGGUGUAAGUACUGAAUAGCUGGAGGAACAGCCAUCCCUGAGGUCCUCUGCUUUUCUCCUGCUCUCCCGGGACGUCCCUUCUUCCCAGCUUCCCUUCCGAAUUAACCUGUUCUUCACCUGGAUGUUAACACUAUUUGGCUCCUUUCCCCAGACAAGCUGCUCUGAUAAGGGGCCUUCUCCCUCACACCUGGCCCACAGCAAUCAAGCGCUCCAUGGUCUCAGAGAGCCUAAAAGCUACAGCUUCAAAAUCCAGCUUCUGCUAACCUCUUUCAGCAGUUCUCAACCUUGCUUCUGCAUCAAAUGCAUUGACCAUGACAGUCCUGAGGCCAAGAAAUGCUACCCUACUCAACUUUCUGUAAGUAUUAGUUCCUUUUACCCCAUCUUUAAUGCCUAACGACGGAUAGUAGGUUCUGGCUACAUCUUCGUUUUAUCAAGUAUUCUUCUCUUGACAUUUUGGUUACCGAGAAAAUAGCAGCCAUGGGAGACUAGCAAAGCCCCUGCAUCCUGUUUGUCUUCUAGGACCAGGGCAGGGCUAAAUUGUGUUUGAAAGAACAGAAAAUGAGUUGUUCCAAUUUUCUCUUACAGAACGUCCAAGAAGCACUUGAAAUUCCAGCAUUCUCUUCUCCCCAUGGGAAGCACCAUUUCCUUUCUCAUUUCUUCAUUCAUACUCUCUUUUCCUUGUCCCCAAGAAAGCUACCACCCUAUUCUCACCAACCAGUAUAAAGUUAUUUGUUUCUUGAUAAGAACAGAGGUAACUCUAAGAGUGCUACUCCAGCUGCAGAGCUUCACCUGGAUGAAUUUUUGCAGUUACAGUUGGAGGAGUGGUAAUUGUAGUUAUCAUAAGCAGCGUAACUCAUCAAGCCUUUUGAGUCAUGUGUCCCUGAAGAAAUGAGUACUUCUGUUCCCCUCCCCACCCCUGGGCUUUUUUUUCCUUUUUUCUUUUU